rnacentral:lncRNA from 1 species
UUGACGGUCGAAGGGUGGUUUGUGAUGGAGCAAAUGAAGGCAACUGCUGAAACUUUGCGGCGAGAAAAUAGGGAUUUGCUCCUGAAGCUUCGUGCCACCGAAGAAGGCUUGCGAUCUGUGUCCCAAGAAAAAGAUAAUCUGAUGAUCCUGGUUCAGGAACUCAAGAACGAGAGGGAUAUCACGAACGACAACAUGAUUCGUCUUUCCAGGACCAUUGAGAAGACAGUUGCGGCUAAUUUGGAGCUACAGGAACACGUCAGAGCGACAGCUAGGUUUUCUAAAGGAUGUCGUGAAAUUCUACAGGAAUCGAGAAGAGCAACUUUUGAUAAAUCCACCCAAUACAGGCUGGGCCCAACAACAGAUGAGAUGAAACGCAAAUUGGAGCAAUUAGCUAUUGAACUCGGCCAGCAAGUGGGCGAGAAAGAGCGCUUGUUAGCAGAAAACAAAGAGAAGACGGAGAGCCUGCAGAAAGCCAUGAGGAAGUCUGCGCGCCUUAAGAGGAUAAUGGACAAUUGCUGGAAUACGGUGAUGAGCCUAAGAAUGGAAAACGACCGCCUUCGAUGCUCACUGGUGUUAAUCACAGAGAAGUACUAUUUCUUCAGCUGGUUCAAGGAGUACAAUGACUAUUACAUGAGCAUCUCCCGGAACACGAUGGAUCUGCUGGAGGAGAAUAUAAAACAGCUGAAGGUGGUCGUGCAGAUCCAAAACCUGAAGAAGGUGGACCAAAAUGGGGAUGAGUUUGAAGAGAUGACAAUCCCUGCCCUGAGAGAGAAACUGGAUGUCUUCUUAGAGGGUAUUUUGGAAGAAGUUUCUGCGUUGGAGGAAGAACUCCUCGCAAUAGAAGCCAAGGUGCAGGAACUGGAAAACAGCCAUGAAGAAAGGAAACAAUACGUAGAAAAGUGCAGCGCCUCUUUCUCCAUGCAAGAAUUUGAGAAAGGAAUUGGCUCCGACACGGAGACGCUCCGACAUAUUUUAGAUACCCUGAAACCAAUCUCUCAGGCUCUCAGCCGGGCUAGAAAAAAGGUGGUGCUCAGGCACGCCUUUUACAGCAAAGAGUCUGAAGUGACAAUGAAGACAUCCAGAGAGAAAUCCAAGCAAUGGCUUCACAAACUGGCGGUGCUCCAGGAACUGCGUGCCGCCUCGCCAGCUACUGCCCGGGAACUGGAAGAAGCCAUGAAAUUAGAACAGAACUUGACCGCAGUGGAACGGGUGAUGGUGGCCCAGUUAGAUGAAGCAGCCGCUCUGGAGAAGGAAGAACCAGAGACAAUCACGCUUCAACCUGCUAAAGAUGAUGUGGCGUAAGGGCCAGUGAAACGGAAGAACACAAGGGAUACUUCUGUUCCAAAGACUUCCAUUGAUCAGCACCACGUUUUUAACAAUACUACUGUUUUUUUAACUUGCUGUAUAUGCACAACGAAAUAAAGCUAGCUAGUUCUACUCA